rnacentral:SRP_RNA from 1 species
GCCGGGUGCGGUGACACGUGCCUGUAGUCCCAGCUACUCGGGAGGCUGAGGUGGGAGGAUGGCUUAAGCCCAGGAAUUCUGGGCUGUAGUGUGCUAUGCAGAUCGGGUGUCUGCACUAAGUUUGGCAUCAAUAUGGUGACCUCCCGGGAGCAGGGGGACCACCAGGUUGCCUAAGGAGGGGUGAACUGGCCCAGGUCGGAAACAGAACAGGUCAGAACUCCCAUGCUGAUCAGUAGUGGGAUCACGCCUGUGAAUAGCCAUUGUACUCCAGCCUGGGCAACGUAGUGAGACCCCGUUUCU